GAAGCGGGACCGGCUCAAUGUGUGAAUCUGGCUUGGGGUAGUUCCCUGGUCCGAGUUGUGCACUAUGGACGUUUCGUCUGCGUUUGUAAUGGCGGUGGAAGUCCGUUGAAACACGGCACCUCAGAGGGUCACAGUCCUGUACCACCUGCCUGCACUCGCGCCAAUGACAAGCGCUCCUCGAGUCGCGUAGUUUUGUAAUGCUGCGCCAAGUGGGAGGUAGAGACCUUCUAAGGCUAAAUAUGAUGACGUGACCGAUAGCACACAAGUACCGCGAGGGAAAGGUGAAAAGCAACCAUGAAAAAUGGGUUGAAACAGUAGUGAAAGCGCUACCGGGAUAAGGGCUAUUGGGUGCUGGGGCUUCUCGGGUGUGCUUCAGUGCUACCCUUGGAGACGGCCCGCGUGGGUUGAUUGGGGUGAUAAACGCGCCGUUGGAAUUCGGCUGUCUUUGGACAGUGUUGUAGCCUUYGGUCGCCGUCCUCCUGCGAC
rnacentral:rRNA from 1 species